CCUACGGGAGGCUGCAGUGAGGAAUAUUGGUCAAUGGCCGGAAGGCUGAACCAGCCAAGCCGCGUGAGGGAGGAAGGCGCAGAGCGUCGCAGACCUCUUUUGCCGGGGGACAAAAGGCCGGACGGGUCCGGCUCCGAGGGUACCCGGAGAAAAAGCAUCGGCUAACUCCGUGCCAGCAGCCGCGGUAAUACGGAGGGGGCAAGCGUUGUCCGGAUUUAUUGGGGUUAAAGGGUGUGCAGGCGGUCCAUUAAGGCUGAGGUGAAAUCCGUGGGGUGAAACCGAGCAUAGCAGCGGAAACUGGUGAACUUGAGUGCAGAAGAGGAGAGUGGAACGCCAGGUGUAGCGGUGGAAUGCGUAGAUAUAGGGAAGAACCCCAGUGGCGAAGGCGGCGCUCUGGGCUGCAACUGACGCUGAGGCUCGAAAGCGCGGGGAGCGAACAGGAUUAGAUACCCGUGUAGUC
rnacentral:rRNA from 1 species